UACGGGGGGGGCAAGCGUUGUUCGGAAUUACUGGGCGUAAAGGGCUGGUAGGCGGCCAACUAAGUCGGAUGUGAAAUCCCCAGGCUUAACCUGGGAACUGCAUCCGAUACUGGUCGGCUUGAAUCCGGGAGAGGGAUGCAGAAUUCCAGGUGUAGCGGUGAAAUGCGUUGAUAUCCGAAGGAACGCCGGUGGCGAAAGCGACGGACUGGACCUCUUCUGACGCUGAGGCGCGAAAGCCAGGGGAGCAAACGGG
rnacentral:rRNA from 1 species